GAUGAUGGACUCAAUCUCCUGGUUCAGAUCAUCAAUGAAGAUAUUGACCAGGACUGGGCCCAGCACUGAUCCCUGGGGGACACGGGACACCACUGGUCACUGCUGCCAACUCUUAGGUGCUUAUGUUUAUGCAGGAAGACUCAGGCUGUCCUCUGCUGCCAAGCAGCUCAGAGAAGUCUCUGGGAGUUUUCAGACUCCUCACCUGUCAGCACAAACUGUAACACAGACUAUUAUUUACACAUUCACAUUCCUCACUCUCAUCCAAUUAGAGAAGAUCAAAGAAAGCAUGGAAAAGCAGAGUACUGCUACUGGACAUGACUGGAAACCUGCUGGAAAUCAGCUGAAGCACUCAGCAAGCACUAUAUCUACAGUGCUGUCUGCAGUGCUGCUUCGAAGAACCACUGGUGUGGUAGGGGCACUUUAAAGACAAAGCAAUGUGCUGAUCCAGUUUGGGCCACAGAUGGUGAAAGCUUUUCCAGCACAUGCAGUGAAGAUGUGAAGAAGCAGCAACAAGCUGCCACAUGUGUGUGA